CCAUGCGCGGACAAGAGCAAUUUAUGCCUUGAGUAGAUAAAAACUUAGAAAAAUUCCGAAUAUUUCAUAUAGUUAUGAAAUUUUCGUAAAGCAAAGGAAAGUAAAAUAUCUGUCUAAAAUUAUAUUAUAAAAUCAAAGAUAAAUUUUUAUAUUACCAGCAACAUAUAUUGGUAGCCCACAAUAUAUGCAACAACAUUACCAAGAUGCAAUGGCAAUCAUGAGAAAGGUCGACUAGAUUUAUUUAUUACAAUUACAUGCAAUCCUAAAUGAUGCAUGGAAAAGUGGCCUAAUUAUGCACUCAUCAUAAGAAGUUCAGUAUGCAACAAAAAUGGAGUGGGUUUUUCAGACUCGGGUGAUGUUUUGAGCACGAGUGGGAGUCGAGGACGCUGUAGGCUUCCUAGAAAAAAAGCUGUCAAACUUGCAUUUCCAAAUGCGAAUGACGAUGACAUUAAAGAUGGCAUAAGUUCUUGACUGGAUACUGCAAACACGCGGCUAAAGAGAGAAGCAAGUGGAAAAGGUCCAAAAAGGGCGCCAUUCCAGCCAAUAGUUAUUGACGAAACCCUGAACAGUGGCGAAGAAUCCGAUCCAUAAUUAUUUACUUAUUUUAUUCAGUAUUCGUAAAUACUUAUUUUAAUUCUAAUCUUAUCCAGUAAUUAUUCUAAUAAAUAAAGUAGAGAUCAGUAAUUUACUAAAAACACAAGCUUAAUUUGUAAUUGAUACAUUUUUUCAAUAAAUAAAGGUAUGUAAUCAUUCGA